UACAGAGGGGGCAAGCGUUAUUCGGAAUUAUUGGGCGUAAAGGGCGCGUAGGCGGCUUGGCAAGUGGAAGGUGAAAUCCCUCGGCUUAACCGAGGAACUGCCCUCCAAACUGCUUGGCCUUGAGACCGGGAGAGGUGAGUGGAAUUCCCAGUGUAGCGGUGAAAUGCGUAGAUAUUGGGAGGAACACCAGUGGCGAAGGCGGCUCACUGGACCGGUACUGACGCUGAUGCGCGAAAGCGUGGGAGCAAACGGG
rnacentral:rRNA from 1 species